rnacentral:rRNA from 1 species
AGUGAACGCUGGCGGUAGGCCUAACACAUGCAAGUCGAACGGCAGCACAGUAAGAGCUUGCUCUUACGGGUGGCGAGUGGCGGACGGGUGAGGAAUACAUCGGAAUCUACUUUUUCGUGGGGGAUAACGUAGGGAAACUUACGCUAAUACCGCAUACGACCUACGGGUGAAAGCAGGGGAUCUUCGGACCUUGCGCGAUUGAAUGAGCCGAUGUCGGAUUAGCUUGUUGGCGGGGUAAAGGCCCACCAAGGCGACGAUCCGUAGCUGGUCUGAGAGGAUGAUCAGCCACACUGGAACAGAGACACGGUCCAGACUCCUACGGGAGGCAGCAGAGGGGAAUAUUGGACGAUGGGCGCAAGCCUGAUCCAGCCAUACCGCGUGGGUGAAGAAGGCCUUCGGGUUGUAAAGCCCUUUUGUUGGGAAAGAAAAGCAGCAGGUUAAUACCCCGCGGUUCUGACGGUACCCAAAGAAUAAGCACCGGCUAACUUCGAG